ACAGCAGAAUGUAUGAGUAGUCUCUCAUCAGAGUGCUGGAAACAGAAGCUGAGCCAGUUAUGCCUGGUUUGGAGAGAAAAUCACCGUCUUGUUUAGGGUUACCACCAUGAUGACCAGAAACUCCAGCCUAUUGCUUAUACCUUACAGCUCCUCCCAGAACCAUUAUCAGAAAUACAAAAAUUGGGAGGGAAACCCUCCAUCCAGCUGCCUUUAAAGAUGGAAAUGCCAAAGCAGACAGCAAACAACCUCCAGCCAAUCAGGAUACAGCCUUAUUCUCUGGUCCGACAGAACAUGGCCUUCUUGAACAACCACGGUAGCAGGGCUGUUUUGGAACCUGAAGGAACUACUGAAAUGCAGAAGGGAAUUAGAUCAUGUAUUAGAUCAUGUCUUAUUAGUAUUGCUCAGCAUUUCUGCCGUAGUCUGACAGAGAAGAAUACUGGGAAAGGAUAAAGAGAUAAAUAACUUUGGCAUCCAUGCAGCUUGUGAAUGAUUCAUGAAAUGAAACCUAUAAACUCCUGCUCAGAACAGCAAACAGUGCUACAGGUACCAGAUGUUGAUAGGUCCACAGGGAUAUGCAGACUGGAGCCAAGACC